AACUUGUUACAACGGAUCACGUGGCUCUCGCGUCGAUUAAGAACGCAGCGAAAUGCGAUAAGUAAUGUGAAUUGCAGAAUUCAGUGAAUCAUCGAAUCUUUGAACGCACCUUGCGCCUCUUGGUAUUCCGAGGGGCACGCCUGUUUGAGGAUCGUGAAAUUCUCAACCCGACUCCUUUUGUGAAAGGGGAGGAGGGCUUGGACUUUGGAGGACUUUUGCCGGUCCCUUUGUUUGGGAUCGGCUCCUCUCGAAUGCAUUAGUGGAGCUUGCUCGCCCUCUGCCCUCGGUGUGAUAAUUCAUCGCCGACGUGUGAGGGAGGAAAGGCGCCGCUUCCAACGGUCUCGUCCGGAGACAAGCAUCUGAACCCUUUGAUCUCAAAUCAGGCGGGACUACCCGCUGAACUUAAGCAUAUCAAUAAGCGGAGGCU
rnacentral:misc_RNA from 1 species